rnacentral:rRNA from 1 species
UACGGAGGGUGCAAGCGUUAUCCGGAUUUACUGGGCGUAAAGAGCGCGCAGGCGGUCGAUCAAGUCGAGUGUGAAAGCCCCCGGCUCAACUGGGGAGGGUCAUUCGAUACUGAUCGACUCGAAGGCAGGAGAGGGUAGCGGAAUUCACGGUGUAGCAGUGAGAUGCGUAGAUAUCGUGAGGAACACCAGAGGCGAAGGCGGCUACCUGGACAAUUACUGACGCUCAGGCACGAAAGCGUGGGGAGCAAAAGGG